AAGUCGUAACAAGGUAACCGUCGGUGAACCUGCGGUUAGAUCAUUAAUAAAUGAUUUGGUUUUAUACCGAAACAUUGUGUGCGAUCAUAUCUGUCUCUGGUGGUUAACCUUUUUUGUCUGGCAGGAGUAUCAUGUUUCUUUCGAAAGAGGGCUCUUACAUGAUAUCUCAUACUAGCAAAAAUUACCUUACCACCAAUUGAAUACACAAACCUUUGUAUGUUUUCUUUAAGUCUGAAUCAUUCACUUUUGUGCAAUGAAAAAACAACUUUUGACAACGGAUCUCUUGGCUCUC
rnacentral:misc_RNA from 1 species